CCUACGGGUGGCAGCAGUGAGGAAUAUUGGUCAAUGGGCGCGAGCCUGAACCAGCCAAGUAGCGUGAAGGAUGACGGCCCUACGGGUUGUAAACUUCUUUUAUAAAGGAAUAAAGUGCGGCACGUGUGCCUCUUUGCAUGUACCUUAUGAAUAAGCAUCGGCUAACUCCGUGCCAGCAGCCGCGGUAAUACGGAGGAUCCGAGCGUUAUCCGGAUUUAUUGGGUUUAAAGGGUGCGUAGGCGGAAUAUCCAGUCAGCGGUAAAAUCGAGGGGCUCAACCCCGUCCAGCAGUGGGAACUGGGGUGCUUGAGUGGGCGAGAAGUAUGCGGAAUGCGUGGUGUAGCGGGGAAAUGCUUAGAUAUGACGCAGAACCCCGAGUGCGAAGGCAGCUGACCGGCGCCGAACUGACGCUGAUGCACGAAAGCGUGGGUAUCGAACAGGAUUAGAUACCCUAGUAGUC
rnacentral:rRNA from 1 species